rnacentral:rRNA from 1 species
CUAAUACAUGCAAGUCGAACGCUUCUUUUCCCACCGGAGCUUGCUCCACCGGGAAAAGAGGAGUGGCGAACGGGUGAGUAACACGUGGGUAACCUGCCCAUCAGAAGGGGAUAACACUUGGAAACAGGUGCUAAUACCGUAUAACAAUCGAAACCGCAUGGUUUCGUUUUGAAAGGCGCUUUACGGUGCCGCUGAUGGAUGGACCCGCGGUGCAUUAGCUAGUUGGUGAGGUAACGGCUCACCAAGGCCACGAUGCAUAGCCGACCUGAGAGGGUGAUCGGCCACAUUGGGACUGAGACACGGCCCAAACUCCUACGGGAGGCAGCAGUAGGGAAUCUUCGGCAAUGGACGAAAGUCUGACCGAGCAACGCCGCGUGAGUGAAGAAGGUUUUCGGAUCGUAAAACUCUGUUGUUAGAGAAGAACAAGGGUGAGAGUAACUGUUCACCCCUUGACGGUAUCUAACCAGAAAGCCACGGCUAACUACGUGCCAGCAGCCGCGGUAAUACGUAGGUGGCAAGCGUUGUCCGGAUUUAUUGGGCGUAAAGCGAGCGCAGGCGGUUUCUUAAGUCUGAUGUGAAAGCCCCCGGCUCAACCGGGGAGGGUCAUUGGAAACUGGGAGACUUGAGUGCAGAAGAGGAGAGUGGAAUUCCAUGUGUAGCGGUGAAAUGCGUAGAUAUAUGGAGGAACACCAGUGGCGAAGGCGGCUCUCUGGUCUGUAACUGACGCUGAGGCUCGAAAGCGUGGGGAGCAAACAGGAUUAGAUACCCUGGUAGUCCACGCCGUAAACGAUGAGUGCUAAGUGUUGGAGGGUUUCCGCCCUUCAGUGCUGCAGCUAACGCAUUAAGCACUCCGCCUGGGGAGUACGACCGCAAGGUUGAAACUCAAAGGAAUUGACGGGGGCCCGCACAAGCGGUGGAGCAUGUGGUUUAAUUCGAAGCAACGCGAAGAACCUUACCAGGUCUUGACAUCCUUUGACCACUCUAGAGAUAGAGCUUCCCCUUCGGGGGCAAAGUGACAGGUGGUGCAUGGUUGUCGUCAGCUCGUGUCGUGAGAUGUUGGGUUAAGUCCCGCAACGAGCGCAACCCUUAUUGUUAGUUGCCAUCAUUUAGUUGGGCACUCUAGCAAGACUGCCGGUGACAAACCGGAGGAAGGUGGGGAUGACGUCAAAUCAUCAUGCCCCUUAUGACCUGGGCUACACACGUGCUACAAUGGGAAGUACAACGAGUCGCGAAGUCGCGAGGCUAAGCUAAUCUCUUAAAGCUUCUCUCAGUUCGGAUUGUAGGCUGCAACUCGCCUACAUGAAGCCGGAAUCGCUAGUAAUCGCGGAUCAGCACGCCGCGGUGAAUACGUUCCCGGGCCUUGUACACACCGCCCGUCACACCACGAGAGUUUGUAACACCCGAA